rnacentral:rRNA from 1 species
GGAUUAGGCAUGCAAGUCGAACGAAUCUCAGUUGGGUAACUGACUGGGGGAAGUGGCGAAAGGGGCAGUAAGGCAUGGGUAACCUGCCCCGGAGUCUGGAAUAGCUAUCCUAACGGAUAGGUAAUACUGGAUGGCGUAGAGUGGGGGAAUCCUCGUUCUACUAAAGCUCAGGCGCUCCGGGAGGGGUCCAUGUGAUAUUAGCUAGUUGGUGAGGUAACGGCUCACCAAGGCCAAGAUGUCUAGCAGGUGUGAGAGCACGACCUGCGCCACUGGCACUGGGACACUGGCCAGACUCCUACGGGAGGCUGCAGUCGAGGAUCUUCGGCAAUGGGCGCAAGCCUGACCGAGCGACGCCGCGUGUGCGAUGAAGGCCUUCGGGUUGUAAAGCACUGUCGAGGGGAAGAAAAGGAAACUUGAUCGACCCCUGGAGGAAGCACGGGCUAAGUUCGUGCCAGCAGCCGCGGUAAGACGAACCGUGCGAACGUUGUUCGGAAUCACUGGGCUUAAAGGGCGCGUAGGCGGGCAAGCAAGUCGAAGGUGAAAUCCCACGGCUCAACCGUGGUAGUGCCCCCGAUACUGUCUGUCUGGAGGGAGAUAGGGGCGUGCGGAACUUCCGGUGGAGCGGUGAAAUGCGUAGAUAUCGGAAGGAACACCGGUGGCGAAAGCGGCGCGCUGGAUCUCUACUGACGCUGAGGCGCGAAAGCUAGGGGAGCGAACGGGAUUAGAUACCCCGGUAGUCCUAGCCCUAAACGUUGGGCACUAGGUAGUGGACUUACAUGGGUUCACUGCCGAAGCAAAAGUGUUAAGUACCCCGCCUGGGGAGUAUGGUCGCAAGGCUGAAACUCAAAGGAAUUGACGGGGGCUCACACAAGCGGUGGAGCAUGUGGCUUAAUUCGAGGCUACGCGAAGAACCUUAUCCUGGGCUUGACAUGUGCGAAAGCGCGCGGAGUAGGAAAUCGAAAGACGUACGAACGGUAACCAGUCCGGAACGCGUACAGGUGCUGCAUGCCUGUCGUCAGCUCGUGUCGUGAGAUGUCGGGUUAAGUCCCAUAACGAGCGAAACCCCUGUUUCCAGUUGCCAGCGAGUAAUGUCGGGGACUCUGGAAAGACUGCCGGUGUUAAACCGGAGGAAGGUGGGGAUGACGUCAAGUCCUCAUGGCCUUUAUGUCCAGGGCUGCACACGUGCUACAAUGGCGUACACAGAGGGACGCAAACUCGCGAGAGGAAGCAAAUCCCAAAAAAUACGCCCCAGUUCAGAUUGAAGGCUGCAACUCGCCUUCAUGAAGUUGGAAUCGCUAGUAAUCGCGGGUCAGCAACACCGCGGUGAAUGUGUUCCUGAGCCUUGUACACACCGCCCGU